CCCCCAUUUCGACCUUCUUUUGCUAGUUAGGGCUCCAAACCGUGCGCACUCGUCGACUAUUGCCUCCUCUGUUCAGUGGCAGACUGAUGCCUCCUUCGUCCAGUGGCAGACUGCGGCCUCCUCCGUUGUUUAGCCUCCUCUGUCCGUUAGCAGAAGUCUGUCUUCUCUGGCCAUCAUCUAUAUGCUCUCGACAUCUUCACUGCUCACAAAUAGGUACAUUAUCUUGUGGCUCAGAAAUUUAUAUUAGGGAUUUAGUUUCCAAUUUGGGGCUUUAUGCAAAGAUGACAAUCUCUUUUGUCCUAGAUCUGUUCUUGAUUUACAAUUUGAUUUUUUUUUGUCGGUUACGUGAUGUUUUUGUGGGAGAUUUGUUUGGUUUCCGUUUUCGAUUUUUUUUUCGAUUAUAAAGGUAAAGAAAAGAAAGCAAAUAGAGGAGGAAUUGAGAGAAUCAUGUAGCAAGGGAGCGUGCGACUUUGUUCCAGGUAACCUUAUGCCAAUGAUAUAAUUCCUCACAUUCUAAAUUUGUGAGUUUGAUCUUUUCUUCUCUGUAUAUCUUUGCGUUAUUCUUGAACUAAUGUUUGUUUUCAGUAGAUUUGACACAAUUGUGAGGGUUAGAAGUAGAGAUGAGCUUAAUGAAAUUCAGGCACACCAAUGAAAUUGAAUGAAUUCCCAUUCAAACUGGCCACAAUACCAUCUAUGCUGAGAGAUGAUCUGAAUGAUCUAAAGGGUUUUGGUUGGGGAACUUGUUGAGAAGACUUGAUAUACAUAGGUUUUACCUGCCAUUGCAAUUGUUUUUCCAAGGUAUAGCCAUCAUCAAGCACGGUGGUUGACUCUAAAAUAUUUCAUCCCACUUAAUUUGAUUUUUGCCUAUGCAGCCAUGCUGGAAUUCAGGUGAAGUUAUUGUUUCCACCUGCUGGAUUGUUUUGUUUUUAGUUUGUGAUCGUCUUAAUAUACAAAAUCAACCCAAACAUGAUAUGAACAGGGUACUUCUCAACCUGCUGACUACCAGGUGCUCAAGUUCUUUGAUCACAUGUCAGUAGUUUAAAUUGUUUCUGUGAUGUUUAUAUAGCUUCUAUGGAGCUAAGUAGUGUAUAGAUAACCAUGUUGAUUUAGUUCAGGAUUGAAGUCAAGGCAUUCUAAGGUAAAAUUUCUGUUCAUAGAUAAAAUAUGUAAGCUAUUUCAUUGAAGAUCUCGUUGGUUAUUUAUCUAUGAUUUUGAUUAACCUCCCAUUCAAAUGAGUUUUUGACAUAUGUUUUUUUUAUUAUUGGUUCACCAGGUUUGAAAUUGAUCAAGCGAAGCACGUACCUAGUACAGUUCUUCACACAUUGGGGUAGCCCUUACAUCAUCUACGUUGCUAGUAAGUUGAAGGUGUUAUAUUGAGGAUGCUGGAGUGAUGAGAUUAGAUUAAGAGUCGAACAAUGUAUUGGUGUAAUGUAUUUUGGAGUUGUGUUAUUGUCUUGUAGAUUCCAACAAUGUAUUCUUGGAAUAUUUGAUUUUAAUAAAUAAGAGUUGAACAAUGUAUUUGUGUAA